GUGCAGCAGGCGCGAAACCUCCUCAAUGCACUCACGUGCGAAGGGGUUACCUCGAGUGCCGCCUGAAGAAGGCGGCUUUUCCAUGGUCUAAAAAGCCUAGGGAAUAAGAGGGGGGCAAGACUGGUGUCAGCCGCCGCGGUAACACCAGCCCCUCGAGUGGUGGGGAUGAUUAUUUGGCCUAAAGCGUCCGUAGCCGGCCGGGUAAGUCUCCCGUUAAAUCCAGCGUCUCAAGCGUUGGACUGCGGGAGAUACUGUCUGGCUAGAGAGUGGGAGAGGUGUACGGUAUUCGUGGGGGUAGGGGCGAAAUCCUUUGAUCCCCGGAGGACCACCAGUGGCGAAGGCUGUACACUAGAACACGUCUGACGGUCAGGGACGAAAGCUGGGGUAGCGAACCGGAUUAGAUA
rnacentral:rRNA from 1 species